AGUGUUGAAAGCUUGCACGUCGGAAACACGCAGCCGGACUGCCACGUGUCCUGAGUCGAGGUGGCGGCGGACUUCCACCUGAGGCUGCUGCUGAUGGCGCGGACGCUGCGCGCGGCCUGGGUGCCGAGCCCGGGCAGCCGGCCCGCUGAGCCUGAGCUGCGGCGGGAAAACAACCACAUUCCCAGGAUUUGGGGCGGGGAGUUAGGUUUACGUUAAGAGCAGGAGGCGUUUAUUACUAAAGCGAAUCUUUCUCCCGUCGCCAGACCGAACGGUUACUUCAGUGGGCAGCUCCCGACAAUGCAUGAGACUGAGUUGUACUGUGCCCAGAUGGCGCUGUGUCCAGAUCGGAUUAAUGAAGGGGACGGUUUUAGUACUGAAAAUCUUGCACUGUGACGUACGAUGAGAAUGCUUUAUUUUAAAUAUGUUGAUCCACCGCAGGAACAAUGGCUCUCAGUGUAACGGAGCUGUUACGUGGAGAUGCUAAGAUGCAAAGGAAAAUUUCAAAACAUACGAGAGAGUAUUUGCUGGAAAAUUACUUGGUUAAAACCUGACAAUCUUACCAGCAUCCUGGGGCUUGAUAAAUACUAGUGAAGCUAUGGGUGUCAUUGACCAGCAGCUUCAUUUUGAAUGAGGGGUCGCUGUCAGCCCAUUGAAAAAGGCCAGUUUGCUGUGAAGUUCCUCAGGUGUAACCAUUUCUGGCUAGUACCAUGAGAUUUACUUGUCAUAUGAAAAACUGGUGAUCAGGAAAAGCUCUUCAUUUUACGGACAUGGAAAGAAAACAUACAAAUCAAGACGGGUUAUAUUGAUUUUUAAUUUUUUAAAUAGAUUCCGAACCAACAUCGAAUCUAGAUUAAUGUAUCCAUAAGAUUCAAGCCAUUUCUAUUUAAUCAUGUCACACUAUCCAAGAGGGUCACAACCUGUAAACCAGUAGGUUACUUCCUAGAUCUAUUUAUACUUUGUAAGUACAGGAAUACCUGUGGUACUAAGUAUUUUUAAUAGAAAAUUCUUUUCCAGUUGCCCACCUUUGUAAUCAAAUUUUUCUGAAUGAACUGUUUUACCUUUGGUCACCUGUUUGAAUUUAAAAUGCAUAAUUGUAAUUAAAGCUGAGUGAAAGUUUA